rnacentral:rRNA from 1 species
AGCCGCCGCGGUAACACCGGCGGCCCGAGUGGUGAUCGUGAUUAUUGGGUCUAAAGGGUCCGUAGCCGGUUUGGUCAGUCCUCCGGGAAAUCUGAUAGCUCAGCUAUUAGGCUUUCGGGGGAUACUGCCAGACUUGGAACCGGGAGAGGUAAGAGGUACUACAGGGGUAGGAGUGAAAUCUUGUAAUCCCUGUGGGACCACCUGUGGCGAAGGCGUCUUACCAGAACGGGUUCGACGGUGAGGGACGAAAGCUGGGGGCACGAACCGGAUUAGAUACCCGGGUAGUCCCAGCCGUAAACGAUGCUCGCUAGGUGUCAGGCAUGGCGCGACCGUGUCUGGUGCCGCAGGGAAGCCGUGAAGCGAGCCACCUGGGAAGUACGGCCGCAAGGCUGAAACUUAAAGGAAUUGGCGGGGGAGCACAACAACGGGUGGAGCCCUGCGGUUUAAUUGGACUCAACGCCGGACAACUCACCGGGGGCGACAGCAAUAUGUAGGCCAAGCUGAAGACUUUGCCUGAAUCGCUGAGAAGAGGUGCAUGG